CUACCAUGCAGUCUCUUGAUCCUUCGGGUGAAGGUGGCGGACGGGUGAGUAACGCGUAAAGAACUUGCCUUACAGACUGGGACAACAUUUGGAAACGAAUGCUAAUACCGGAUAUUAUGACUGAGUCGCAUGAUUUGGUUAUGAAAGCUAUAUGCGCUGUGAGAGAGCUUUGCGUCCCAUUAGUUAGUUGGUGAGGUAACGGCUCACCAAGACGAUGAUGGGUAGCCGGCCUGAGAGGGUGAACGGCCACAAGGGGACUGAGACACGGCCCUUACUCCUACGGGAGGCAGCAGUGGGGAAUAUUGGACAAUGGACCAAAAGUCUGAUCCAGCAAUUCUGUGUGCACGAUGAAGUUUUUCGGAAUGUAAAGUGCUUUCAGUUGGGAGGAAGUCAGUGACGGUACCAACAGAAGAAGCGACGGCUAAAUACGUGCCAGCAGCCGCGGUAAUACGUAUGUCGCAAGCGUUAUCCCGGAUUUAUUGGGCGUAAAGCGCGUCUAGGCGGUUUAGUAAGUCUGAUGUGAAAAUGCGGGGCUCAACCCCGUAUUGCGUUGGAAACUGCUAAACUAGAGUACUGGAGAGGUAGGCGGAACUACAAGUGUAGAGGUGAAAUUCGUAGAUAUUUGUAGGAAUGCCGAUGGGGAAGCCAGCCUACUGGACAGAUACUGACGCUAAAGCGCGAAAGCGUGGGUAGCAAACAGGAUUAGAUACCCUGGUAGUCCACGCCGUAAACGAUGAUUACUAGGUGUUGGGGGUCGAACCUCAGCGCCCAAGCUAACGCGAUAAGUAAUCCGCCUGGGGAGUACGUACGCAAGUAUGAAACUCAAAGGAAUUGACGGGGACCCGCACAAGCGGUGGAGCAUGUGGUUUAAUUCGACGCAACGCGAGGAACCUUACCAGCGUUUGACAUCCCAAGAAGUUAACAGAGAUGUUUUCGUGCCUCUUCGGAGGAACUUGGUGACAGGUGGUGCAUGGCUGUCGUCAGCUCGUGUCGUGAGAUGUUGGGUUUAAGUCCCGCACCGAGCGCAACCCCUUUCGUAUGUUACCAUCAUUAAGUUGGGGACUCAUGCGAGACUGCCUGCGAUGAGCAGGAGGAAGGUGGGGAUGACGUCAAGUCAUCAUGCCCCUUAUACGCUGGGCUACACACGUGCUACAAUGGGUAGUACAGAGAGCUGCAAACCUGCGAGGGUAAGCUAAUCUCAUAAAACUAUUCUUAGUUCGGAUUGUACUCUGCAACUCGAGUACAUGAAGUUGGAAUCGCUAGUAAUCGCAAAUCAGCUAUGUUGCGGUGAAUACGUUCUCGGGUCUUGUACACACCGCCCGUCACACCACGAGAGUUGGUUGCACCCUGAAGUAANCAGGCCUAACCGUAAGGAGGGAUGUUCCCGAGGGGGAUAGC
rnacentral:rRNA from 1 species